rnacentral:rRNA from 1 species
GACGAACGCUGGCGGCGUGCUUAACACAUGCAAGUCGAACGAAGUGGCGAACGGGUGAGUAACGCGUAAUCAACCUGCCCUUCAGAGGGGGACAACAGUUGGAAACGACUGCUAAUACCGCAUACUGAAGGAGGGGAUUGCGUCUGAUUAGCUAGGUGGAGGGGUAACGGCCCCCCAAGGCGAUGAUCAGUAGCCGGUCUGAGGGGAUGGAUGGGCACAUGUGGACUGAGGCACGGCCCAGACUCCGACGGGAGGCAGCAGGGGGGAAUCUUCCGCAAUGGAAGAAAGUCUGACGGAGCAACGCCGCGUGAGUGAUGAUGGCCUUCGGGUUGUAAAGCUCUGUUAAUCGGGACGCGGUACCGGAAUAGAAAGCCACGGCUAACUACGUGCCAGCAGCCGCGGUAAUAC